UUGUCGAGACAGUUCCAUAUUCCGAUUCUUCAUGACCACACCAUGAUACUGAGAGCACAUGCAGCUUAAGACACUUAGUUACUAGAUCUCUGAUGCUCUUCAAGAAUAAAUGAUAAUCUAAAUAUAGAUCCGUUAAAUUUGGAGGUAGUUGUUCUCCUGGUAGUUCGUUAAGAUUCUGACAGAAUUGUACGUCCAGACGCUGAAGUUGUAAGAGUUGUUUGAUGCUUUUGGGUAACCAAGAAAUAUUGCUUCCACUUAAAUUCAACUCAUCCAGAAAGAGCAAAGAACCCAAUUCCUCAGGUAGUCCACCCAAAAUAUUUAGAUUACUGAGAUGAAGAUCCGUCAAGGAAGAUAAACCUGAUAGUUCAUGCAAGAUGAAACUUGACGAAUGCUGCACAUGUUGUAAAACAUGCGAGAAUCUUAAAUCCGUCAGUUUGCCAAGCUUGGUGAUAGAGGUAGGUGGUUGGGAGAUUGCAGUUUCUGUCGCGUCAAAUAUCUCUAACUCUCGCAGAUCACCAAUGUUUUCUGGAAGCUUCUCGAGCUUCUUGCAUCCACGAAGAUGAAGAUACUCAAGAUUCAUCAAAUUACAGACGCUGUUUGGUAGACUAACAAGAUCUUCACAACCAUUCAGAUUGAGGUGAAAGAGGCCGCUCAGAUUCCCAAUGGACGAAGGCAGUUCUCUUAUCCCAGUAGAAUUCAGAGUCAGCUUUUUCAAGCAAUGCAUAUCUCCAUUGAUUUCUGGAAAUGCAUCUAAUUUUGGGCAAUUAUUUAGAUCGAUCAGUUGAAGGGAUUCCAUCUGAAUAUAGCUCGGAAGCUUCUUUAAGUUCUCACAUCUAUAUAUCGCUAACCGAUAGAGCUUCUUUUGAACUCCGAGAGAUGUUGGAAUCUCUACCAAUCCGGAACAUUGAAUUAUGGAAAGAUGUUCUAGUUGUUGUGAUUCAAAGACGCUGUUUGGCAGCGUUGCAAGUUUAUUGCAACCUUCAAUAUAGAGUGACUCAAGAUUUCGACUAGCGUCUGGAAUACUUUGAAGAACUUCACCACCUCUCAAUUUCAUAAAAUUAAGGGCACCGAGAGAUGGGGGUAAGCUUCUUAUCCAGGGGGAUCCUACACUUAGUUUUGAUAAGCGCGGCAUAUCUCCACAGAUUUCUGGAAAUUCUUCUAAGCUUGCGCAUUCGUCAAGGAAUAGAGUCUCAAGAGAUUCCAUGGCAACAAAUUUUGGAAGCUUCUUAAGUUUGACACAACCAUACAAAUUCAAAGAAGUAAACAUACUGCAAUGUCCAAUAGAGAGAGUGCCAUAAAUUUAGUGUCUCCAAGACUGGCAUAUCACCAAAAUUAGGCGUUCUUGUUAACUCGAGGCUGUCCCUGAGAUCCAAAUGCUGCAAGUUGCUCAAUUUCUGCUUUCAUAUAAAAAUUAAUUAAUACCAGUUAGCAUUAGUAAUAGUACUCCUAAUAGAAAGAGAAGGUUGUUAUGCUCAAUCAAGGCUGUAGCAAAUGUCAAAAACAACUUUGUUAUGUUUUACAUGAUGUAAAUUGUGUAUAUCAAAGCAUUUGAACCAUGGUGUGAUUAAUUCAGAUGCAUUAACCUAUCAAAUAUAAACAUUGGAGUUAAGUUUUGGAGAGAAAGAUAUCACUCUACCUUUCGUAUUGGCCAAAGUUCAACAAGACGACUUCUAUAUAAACAAAGCCCAACGAAGUGUAAUGGGUCAAACCCCUCCGGCAAUGAACUUGAAGGAUAGUCCGGCCAUUCAAUCCACCGCAGGCUAGAAGGAAGACAAGUGAUAAUGCUUUCCGAGCAAAUAGUUUGAUUAUCCAAUAUCAGCACCUGUAAUCUUUCCAUCUUCUUGAAUACCUUGCUAUGAUUUACAUGAUCAUCUCCAAAACGAUAACCUUUUGGAAUCUGUAGGCUUUCCACCUUUUUUGUUUUCUGUAAAGAAAGUAACAUAUAUUUAUUUGUCAACAUAACAAACACACAAUACUAAGAGUUUCAUAAAAUUAUCAGUUUUUCAGUUUAUGAUAUUUCUAACCAACUUUCCAGCGAAAAGGUCAUGACCCUCCUUAGGAAGCCAUAUUCUGCUGUUUUUGUACUCUUCUCUCAACACAUUUUCACCCAUUUCUCUUAUCAAAUUAUGCAUCUUAAAGUUGCAGAAAUUGCUGCUGAUGGAUAAGAGAGAUUUUUCGAUGAGGCGGCUUAUUCCUACCAUGUGAAUACCACAACUCUUAAGUAUUUGUUCCACAUAAUAUACUGGUCUAUCGUUGUACAAGCUUGCGAUAUCUAGAAAUAUCCUCAUCUCGUCUUUUUUCAAUCCAUCAAGAUCAAUCUUAAGUUUUCCUAGAAUGUCAUCAUUAGGGAUCUCCUUCAGUCUAUCAAUUAUGUCUCUCCAUAGCCCUUUAUUUCGUCCGUAAACAGAAGAACCCAAAACUUUAAGAGCUAAAGGGAGUCCGCCGGCAUACUCCACCACUUGUCUUGAAAGUUCCAUAAAAUCUUCUUUUGGUGUUUUUUCCUUAAAAGCAUGCCUGCUGGACAAUUCAAGUGCUUCGUCCUCAGAUAAUAGUUGGACUUCAUACACGUUAUCCCCAACGUGACUGAUUAGCAGGUGCCUGUCUCUUGCUGUCAAAAUAAUUCUGCUACCCUUACCAAACCAUUCUUUCCCUCCAACUAAAUAUUCCAACUGUUCUCGAUGGUUUACAUCAUCAAGAAUGAACAAAACUUUCUUCCAGCGAAGCAUAUUCUUUAAAAUAAUCAUCCCUUCAUGUUCACUAGUUAGGGUCAUCUUUUCACCCAAGAGCUUGCGAAUGACGACUUGCUCUAGCCAUGUUAGUCCAUUUCUCUGAUAAAGUGUUCCGACAUCACCAAGAAAACAAUCAGCUUCAAAUCGAUGACGAUAUCUUUGAUACAGAACACUUGCAAUUUCCGUCUUGCCAAUGCCGCCCAUACCACAAAUCCCGAUUGAGCGAACAUCAUUUGAUUCCAUAUCUAAUAGUGAGGUUACUUUCUCAACCUGAGAUUGCAUACCCACUAAGCUUUCUGGGAACGGUGAAAUAAAUUGAAGCGAUUUAGGAAAUAUGUCAUCAACUAGCUUCUUGAUGCACUCCGCCUCAUCCCUACAUUACAGCAAAAAGAAUCUGAGAGUAAACUAAAUAGAAAAUACAAGAAAGAGUUGUCAUAGACUAAUGUCUCAUACAAACACAUAACAAAACAAAGCGACAAAGGUAAUAUUCUUUUUCCCCGGAAUCACUAUGAUUACUAUAACAUCUUCACAUUGUUAGAUCCAAUUACAUCAUCAAACAAGAACAUAACUCAAGGUUUGCCAAUUAAUGUAAAUUAUAAUUGUAGCUAAGAGUUUGGUGAAAAGAACGAACGCUUACUUAAAAUUUUGUAAAUGAUAUCCUGAUAUUUUCCCUGCCUCCGCAAAUGCAUCCCUCCAUCUCUGAACCUUCUCUAUAUCAUCUCUAUACUUUUUCUCUUGUUUGGAAAAUGACUUAGCGAACGGGGGAUUUUGAUGGCGUACAUCUGAUGGACUCACAUCACAGAAGACUGGAAUCACAAUCUACUCCAAUUCAUUUUUACACUUUAUGAUGUGCGCAAGCUCCUCUAAGCACCAUCUUGAGGAUGCAUAGCUUCUUGAAAAUAUCACGACUGCGAAUCUGGCUUCUUCUAUGGCUUUCAAAAGUUCGCCAGAAAUUGAUUUUCCUGUUUCCAGCCGCUCAUCGUCUUUAAAAGUGCGUAUUCCUUUUUGUUCUAAAGCAUUAUAGAGAUGGCUCACAAAGGUUCUGCUUGUAUCUUCGCCUCUAAAACUCAAAAAGACAUCGUACUUGAAAGUUUUGGAAGAAGAAGCUUGAGACAUUAUUGAAUAAUAUUUACUAAAGACUAAUAGGCAAGUUCUCAACUUUGGAUGUAUUGGUGAAAAAUCUCACAUAAUUGGGUGGCUCUGGUGCUUAAUAAAGAGCAAAAUUUCACCUUUUUCACUAUUCCUAGUCUUCAUGGGAAACUUGUACCUUAUCUUUAUCAUCAUUGUGAGAAAUUAAUGAGUAAUGAAGCAAACAAGAAGACUUGGAUCUUGACUAAAAGGGCAAAGAAAAAACUAAAGUUUGGAAAAAACAGAAGAAAACAUAUGAAAAGGGAACUAAAGUAAUAAAGUAUCGGACUAAAAGUCUAUGCAACAUUAUUGCGAAUAGAUCCAACUUCUCAUGAAAUUCCCAGGCAAUAUCAUUUAUUCCAAAAUACAAACUUGGAUUAUUAUUUUAUCACUAUACUAAAUAAAAAUAUUAUAAAUUAUUAAAUUAAAUACUAAACAAUAAUGUUUUAAAACCUUUUCAAAUAAUAGUUAAUCCUAAUUACCAUGGUGUAUAUUUCAUUAUUAAUAAAAAAUAAACUUCCUAUUACAUUUUACAUUUUAGCUAUAAUACACAUGAUUAAUUGAUUUCCUAUGAGAUGACAAGUUAUAGGUACAUUAUAUGACAUCUCACAAAAUAUGCCAUCAAAUGUUUGUCUUUUUUCCUAACAUGUUGCCUCUAUUGAAUUACUAUAUGAGUUAAAUUGCUAGCUUUUUAUCUUCCUUUAUAACUCCACAUUGAAAAGGUGUUAUAAAGUGUGUACUGUACACACAGUCUAAUCUUAAAUUUCUGUCGGAUGCUGUUUUCAAAGCUUGAACUUGUGACCUUCUGGUCACAUGAUAGCAACUUGACCAGUUAUUCCAAGGCUCCCCUUCAGAAUUGGAAUUGAUAACGAAGUUGUUGAGCAACUUUAUUGGCUCCUAUUGUUACAUAUUUCUCUUUGAACUAACAUGUUCAUUCUCAUCUCAAAUCAUAUUGCAGCAGAUACAAAAAAAAAUAAAAAUUAUAUGAUUACGUUAACUGAUAAGUGAUAAUUGGUUAUUUAAAUUAUUCUGGAUUACUUUUGUACUUAAGAAGAUAACUACAGUUAGAAGUUUAGCCUUAUUGAUAUGAAAUUAUGUACAAAGAUAACAAGGUAUAAUAGAAAUAAGCAGUGUGUAAAAUAGAGAGUACAAGUUGUGUUCUCUACAAUUUUCCUUCACAGGCUAUGGGCUAUUUAUAGCCCAAAUUAAGAACUUUAUCUAAUUUAAUAUUCAAAAAGUGGAGAAAUAGUAAGGCAAUUGCCCACUUAAAAAGGAAACCAAAUGCCUACUGACAUGGCAUCCAUUCACAACAUAAAAAGGAAACCAAAUGUCUAUUAACAUGGCAUCCAUUCAUAACACUCCCCCUUGGAUGACCAUGUAAAAUAAAAUUUCCUAAAUACGCAUUUGAGUGUUGCCUCAUUAAAAAUCUUUACCAAGGAAAACCCAGUGGGAUAAAAACAUUGGUUAAGGAAAAAAGAGUACAACGUGUAUUCUCACUCCCCCUGAUGAAGACCCCGAUUCAAACGGUUCAGUCUUCGCAUCCCAAUCUUGUAUACCAUCUUCUCAAAGGUUGAAGUUGGUAAAGAUUUAGUGAACAUAUCUGCUAGAUUAUCGCUUGAACGAAUUUGUUGAACAUCUAUUUCACCUUUCUUCUCAAGAUUAUGAGCAAAAAAGAAUUUUAGUGAAAUGUGUUUUGUUCUGUCUCUUUUAACGUAACCUCCCUUCAACUGAGCUAUACAUGCAGCAUUAUCUUCAUACAAUGUAGUUGGGAUAUUCUUAUUCACAGAAAAUCCACACAUUUCUUGAAUAUGUUGAGUCAUCGAUCUCAACCAAACACACUCCCGGCUCGCUUCAUGAAUGGCAAUAAUUUCUGCAUGAUUUGAAGAAGCUGCAGCUAAUGUUUGCUUCAUUAAACGCCAUGAUAUAGUUGUGCCACCGUAUGUAAAUAAAUAACACGUCUAAGACCGAGCCUUAUGUGGAUCAGACAAGUUUCCUGCAUCUGCAUAAAUAAUCAUUUCUGACUUGGAUUAAUUUGAAUAAAAUAAUCCUAAGUCAAUGGUUCCCCGAAGAUAUCUGAGUAUAUGCUUGACACCAUUUCAAUGUCUUUUAGUUGGGGAAGAGCUGAAUCUUGCCAAUAAACUUACCGCAAAAUAAAUAUCUGGUCGAGUAUUAUUGGCAAGAUAAAUUAGUGCCCCGAUUGCACUAAGGUAUGGAGUUUCAUCACCAAGAAGCUUUUCAUCAUUUUCUUGAGGUCGAAAUGGAUCAUUGUUUAUAUCAAGCGAUCUCACAACCAUUGGGGUACUCAAUGGAUGUGAUUUAUCCAAGUAAAAUCGCUUUAAAAUCCUUUCAGUGUAUAUUGAUUGAUGGACAAAAAAUACAUUUGUCAAAUGCUCAAUCUGUAGGUCGAGAUAAAAUUUUGUCUUUCCUAGAUCUUUCAUUUCAAAUUCUUUCUUCAAACACUCGACAACUUUUGAAAGUUCUUGGGGAGUGCCAAUGAUAUUCAGGUCAUCAACAUAAACAAUUAUUAUAGCAAAUUCAUAUCCAAACCUUAUUAUAAAAACACAAGGGCAAAUAGGAUUAUUUUUGAACCCUCAUUUUAGCAAAGAUUCGCUAAGACGAUUUUACCACAUCCGCCCUGAUUGUUUCAAUCUAUAUAAGGAUUUUUGAAACUUUAUUGAGCAAGUUUCUUGCGAAUUUUUAUAUGCUUUAGGUACUUUGAAGGCCUCUGGAAUUUUCAUAAAAAUAUCGCUGUCGAAUAAGCCAUACAAAUAGGCCGUGACAACAUCCUGUAGGCGCAUAUCAAACUUUUCAUGAACUGCCAGAUUUAUUAUAUAUCUGAAGGUAAUUCCAUACACCACAGGAGAAUAUAUUUCCGCAUAAUCAAUGCCAGGUCUUUGCGAAAAACCUUGUGCCACAAGUCGUGCUUUAUAUCUUACGACUUCACCUUUUUCAUUUUGCUUUCGCACAAAAAAUAAUUUGUACCCCACUGGCUUGACACCUUCAGGUGUUCGGACUAUUGGUCCAAAAACUUCACGUUUUUCAAGUGAAGUCAAUUCCGCUUGAAUUGCAUCCUUCCAUUUUGGCCAAUCAUUUCUCUGUCUAUAUCAUUGACAGAUUUUGGUUCCAAAUCCUCAUCUUGUUGCAUUAUUUAGUAGCAACAUUGUAAGCAAAAAUAUUGUCAACCACAAUAUUAUUUUGAUUCCACCUAUUUCUCGUCGAGACAUAACUUAUUGAGAUUUCUUUAUUCACAUUAGUUUCAGGUAUUUUGACCUCGUCAGUGGUCUUAUCAUUUGUUAGAUCUUGAGGCUCUUUUUGAGCGACUACCAUUAUAUCAUGAUCAUUUUGAUCAUUUAUUCUUUUCUUUUUCGAGGAGUUUUAUCCUUGGAACCAAUCGGUCUACCACGUUUGAAACGUGGUUUAGACUCAUUUGCAUUGACCACUUGUCCUAUCAGGACAUCAACUCGAACUGGAGCAUUUGCAACUAAAAUAUAAGAUUUAGUAACCCUUGGAAGGUUAGUAAAUGCAUCUGGUAGCUGAUUUGCAAUAUUUUGCAAGUAAACCAUCUUUUGAACCUCUUGCUCACAUUGAUUUGUUCGAGGAUCCAAAUGAGAUAGUGAUAAUGCAUUCCAAUCUAUCUCAUGUUUCAACUACUUAUGUUCUCCCCCUAAUGUUAGGUAUACUGAUUCAUCAAAAUGACAAUCGGCAAAUCUUGUCGUAAACAAAUCUCCUGUCAUAGGUUUCAAAUAUUUUAUAAUGAAAAGUGAUUCAUACCCAACAUAUAUUCCCAACCUUCGGGGUCCCAUUUUUGCGCGUUAUGGUGGAACAAUUGAAACAUAUACCGCACAUCCAAAAAUUCUAAGAUGGGAAAUAUUUGGUUCUUGACCAAAAACCAACUGUAAUGGGGAGAAUUUAUGAUAACUGAUUGGCCUUAUGCGCACAAGUGUUGCUGCAUGCAAAAUAGCAUGUCCCCACAUUGAAACAGGAAGUUUUGUCCUCAUUAACAUCGGUCUAGCUAUCAAUUGAAGAGGUUUGAUCAAUGAUUCUGCUAGACAAUUUUGAGUGUGAACAUGAGCAACCAGAUGUUCAACUUUUAUUCCAGUUGACAUACAAUAAUCAUUAAAGGACUGAGAUGUAAACUCACCAGCAUUAUCAAGACAAAUAGUUUUUAUUGCAUAAUAUGAAAAUUGUGCUCUUAACCUUAUUAUUUGAGCCAACAAUCUCGCAAAAGCCAUAUUGCGCGUUGAUAAUAAGCACACAUGUGACCAUCUUGUAGAUGCAUCUAUCAGGUCCACACGAAGGGUGAAUUGGUCCACAUAUAUCACCCUGUAUACGUUCCAGAAAUGCAGAGGAUUCAAUCCCAACCUUAGCUACUGAUGGUUUAAUAAUCAACUUUCCUUGAGAACAAGCAACACAUGAGUAUUCCUUUGAUUGAUGAAUAUUUUGAUUAUUCAAAGUAUGUCCAUGUGAAUUUUCAAUAAUUCUGCACAUUAUAUUAUAAUCGGGAUGGCCCAACCGAUCAUUCCAAAUGAUAAAAUUAUUACAAUCUGUAAUUUUUUUAUUUACUAUAGUAUGUGAUUCAACCAUACAAAUACUUAUAUGAUACAAUCGAGAAGAAAGUGCAGGUGGUUUUUAAUGCACAAACUUUUCUCCACCUUUUAUUGUAGUAAUAUAAAGAUAUUCAAUCUUUCCUUCAUUUGCAGUCUCAAUGUGAUAGCCAUUUCGGCGAAUAACCUUGAAACUUAACAAGUUUCUUUGAGACUUACUACAAUAUAAUGCAUUAUCAAUGGUCAAUAUUAUUCCCCCGGGUAGUAAUAAGGUCGCUCUUUCAGAACCUUCAAUUAAUGUUGUACUAUCGGAUAUUGUAUUAACAUGGGCCAUUUUCAUAAUCAAAUUAGAGAACUAUUUCUUUUCUCUUGAUAUAGUGUGAGUUGUAGCACUAUCAAGAAGACACACAUCUCCAUUGCUCAUCUUGGAUCUAGUUGAAGAUUGAGAAAAUUUUAUUAUCUUCACAAAAUAAAAUUACAUGAUAAGAAAAGUGAAAUCUCACAAUCUUACAAUAAAACUUAAAUACUUAUUAUUUUAUCUUGAAAUGUAAAAACAACAUAAUGGAAAAAAAUGCUGAAAACAUCAUAAUAAAAUAACAUUAUUUAUCUAAUAACUUGAUCAAGAUUUAGUUUUGGUCUCCAAAGAAGUCUUCAACUUCCAAAUGAGUUGUAUCAUCAAGGCCAUCAAAAUUAUCAUCUUUCAAAACCAAGUUUGCCUCAACAUUGUCAUCAUAUUUUUGUGAAGGUCCUGCCUCAUUAUCAUUUUUGAAAGUCAAAUGUGACUCAAUCCAGGCAUUAGAAGAGGUCCCACCUUCAUUUCUAUUUUUUUUGCAAGAUUCUUGAUAAAGCCUAGCAAAAUGCUUAGGCGCCCGACAUUCAUUCUUCCAGUGGCCUUUCAUACCACAACGAUGACAAUUACCUCUUCAGGGAUUGUUUUGGGGACCCAUUUGGUUCUCCCCUUUUUGGUUACCACCACUACGACGAUUAUUAUAUUGUCCCCUGCCAUUGCCACGUCCACGCAUAUUAUUAUGACCCCGAUCUGGCCAUCUUUCAGGCUGGCCAUGUGCUUGUACCCCAUUUGCUUCCGGUAGUGGAACAGCUUCAGUGGGCCGUGCUUCAUGAUUUUUCAUCAAAAGGGCAUUAUGUUGCACAGCCACUAGAAGGCAUGAGAUCAAUUCAGAAUACUUUUGAAAGCCCUUUUUCACAUUUGAGGCAUGAAAAGUAGUUGGUGUUUUUUUCAUCAUGUCCUCAUCAUUUAUAGUUUUCCCAUAUAAUUUCAAUUGGAAAACAAUCUUGAAUACAACAAAAUUAUAUUCAACAACGGUUUUAAAGUCUUGAAACCACUCAUAACGAGCUCUAGGCAGUACCGUGACCUUUAGGGGUCAUACCUUCCCUUCAAAUCAGUCCACAAUUCAAGUGGAUCUUUCACAGUAAGGUAUUCAACCUUCAGUCCUUCAUCCAGAUGAUGACGAAGGAAAAUCAUAGUCUUGGCCUUGUACUGACUCGACGUUGCAUUAUCCAGAGUAAUAGUAGCACUAAGACCCUUAGCAGCUAGGUGAAUCUCAGCGUCGAGAACCCAUGACAAGUAAUUUUUUUUAGAGAUGUCAAGUGCCACAAACUCAAGUUUCGAUAAGUUUGACAUGAUGGAAACUAUCAUAAAAAUAAUGAAGUUAGACAACAAUAAUAACAUUUUUUUUUUAUGUGUAACUUUAACGUUAAAAUCAAAACUUUGAUAAAAGAAAAAUAACAAACUCAAUAAGACAAGUAAGUUGAUUAUACCCGAAGGAUGGAAAACUUGAAAAAGAGUAGAGUCGUGCUGAUGACGUGAUAUGAAAUUAUGUACGAAGAUAACAAGGUAUAAUAGAAAUAAGCAGUGUGUAAAAUAAAGAGUACAAGUUGUCGUUCUCUACAAUUUUCCUUCACAAGCUAUGGGCUAUUUAUAGCCGAGAAAAGGCAUCGUUUCCACCCCAAACUAUACAAGAAAAGUCGAAGCCACACCUAAACUAUAUUAGUGACCUAUUACACACCUAAACUAUAAAAAGUGGAGCUUUCUACACCUUGUAAAGCAUUAUACCACUUGCAUAUGGUGCGGUGUUUUACACACGUUGCCACGUCAGUGCCAUGUCAGCAUAAUAUGAAAAAAAUAACAAAAAAUAUCAAAAAUCCCCUUAUUAUUUUUAUUUGUCAUCUGCCAUUAUUCUUUCUUCUUCUUCAUCAUUCACUGCCAUUUUUAUUCACCGAUGCCCCCUUAUAUUUGUUUUCCUCUUUCUUCUCUUCUUUGGACUAGUACUAUACUAGUCUUCUCUCCCAUCUUUCUUCUCUAUUUGUUACCUUUUUUAGUAUGCGGUGGAGAGUAGAGUUUGUGUACAACUUCGGGAUCGAUCGGGUGUUGCAACUUGGAACUGAAAGUUUUCAAAGUCAAGCCCUCUUUCAUCAACCAAUUUUUAUUAUUUUCUUUUCAAUUUUACCUUCGGAUCACCAAAUUAAAGAAAAUUCAUCUAGAUUUAUAAUUUUUGAAUGAAAUUGUAAUCAAAUUGUUGGGUAAUUAAGAAAAAUUCAUCUGAAUUUUGUUAGUUUUGCUUGAAAUUGUGAUCAAUUUGUUGAGUAAUUAGAGAAAACCUAUCUGAGUUUUGUAAUUUUUGAUUGGAUAUUUGGAAUUGGAUUUCUGAGUUUUGUGGUGAUGUGUUUGUUGGGAACGAUGAGAAAGAAGAGGUAGUGGUGGUGGUGGUACCAGCACCCUUAUUGGGGUUGGAAAGGGAAGAUUCAAUGGUGAUUAUGUGGGGAUAAUUUGGUGCUUCAUCUUUGGGAUUAGUGGAUAUGGGGAUAUUCGUCACCGUUUGAGUUCACCGAAACACCGGCGAAGUGAAAGCAACAAAUUCAAUUUGAAUUUCGGCAAGCUCGUUUAAGCUUAGUUCAAAAUUAGUGAUUCGAAUUUUGUUUCGAGAUUUCAAAAUUAGUGAAAUUGACAUUGAUUCGGUGGGUUUGGAGUUUGUGGGUGGGGUGAUGAAGAAAAUAUGUUGGUUGGGUGGGCUUGGAGUUUGGGGGUGAGGGGUGACAAAGAAGAUGAUGGUUUUGGGGUGGGGGUGAUGAAGAAGAUGAUGGUUUGGGGGUGGAGGAGGGGAGAUGGAUGUUGGGGGUUGGGUAGAGUGAGUAUUUUUUUUAUUUUUUUUUGCAUUAAUUUUUAAUGUAGACGCGUCUUUUUUAAUUUAAUUAAUUAUGUUUUUUCCACGUCAAAUCUAGGGUGUAAAAAAUAUCACUUUUUUUUAUAGUUUAUGUGUGUAAUAGGACACUAGUAUAGUUUAGGUGUGGCUUCGACUUUUCUUGUAUAGUUUGGGGUGGAAACGAUGUCUUUUCCCUUUAUAGCCCAAAUUAAGAACUUUAUCUAAUUUAAUAUUCAAGAAAUGGAGAAAUAGUAAGGCAAUUGCCCACUUAAAAAGGAAAUCAAAUGCCUACUGACAUGGCAUUCAUUCACAGCCUAAAAAGGAAACCAAAUGCCUAUUGACAUGGCAUCCAUUCACAACACUUAUCUUCUUAUUUAUAUUUCUAAACCAAAUAUUUAUCAAGGAAUAUAUUGUUUCAUGGUAUCAGAGCUAGAUUUUCUUUGCUAUUGAAUCAUGACUUCCAAUACAUUUACUCAAUCAGUUUCUUCUUCUUCACCGGCCUCCCUAACUGAAGCUUCCUCUACAAUUUUCGUCUCUAACGUUAAAAUUUUGGUUUUCACUAUUCUUGACUAUACAAAUAUGCUGCUUCUUUGACUUCCAUGACACUAUGCGGUGAUUGACCUUCUCGUAUUAGGAUAGGAAGCCCAGUCUGAGUCACAACAAACUGUCAGGGAAUUAAUGAUUCCUGUCUACAAAAGGACUCCCACACAACAGAAUGUAUCUAUAGCUACGAAAUCUAAGCUAUGAACUUUAAAAUCGUAACUAUUAUUCAGUAACAACGACAAAUAUUCAAAUUUCAUAGGUAUUUACAAAUUCGUGAACUUUCUUAGCCACGAAAAUCAAAUUGCCAAGGCUAAUCUCUCAUGUCUGCUACAAUUACUAAAAAUCGUGGAAAUAGUUACCUAAAUAGCUAUAAAUUUAUUGUUAUAGUAAAAUUUUGUAGCUGGUGAUAAGUUUUUGCCAUGCGAUAAUACAAUCGUGGUAAUUUGCCAAAUCGCACAGCGUGUCUUCCACCGUAGCCACAUUUGUUACCUAUGUAGAUAAUAAUACAAAGGCAUGCCUGAUACGGAAUAAUCACGGAUAUGGACUUAGGAGAGUACGUGUUGGACUCGAGCCUUGGCAUGUGCAGUUGAAGUGUAAAAGAGGCCCAAAAUGCACCCAAAUCAGCCCAUAAAUUACACUGCCCACUCUUUGAAGGGCCUUUUGGUCAUUUUAACUUAUAUUUUGUAAUAGCUAUAAAAGGAACAUUGUAGGGUUUUAGACUUAGUUUAUUGAUGAUGUUGUAAGUCUUAAUUUAUUGGAAAACACAAGUCCUCUCUUCUCUUUGGAGGCAAAACCGAAACUAGGAUACAACAAUAGGGUGGAUUCUCUUUUGUUGUUGUUUGCUUGGAAACAUUGAUGCUUGGGAGGUGGAUUCCGAUCUUGUGUCUUUGUAAGAGAUAGGUUUAUUGUUGUGUGUAGUGUUAAGGGUCCAAGAUUGUCCAUUCUUGGGUUCUUAAGAUUAUACCUUCAUGUGGUCUAUCUAUCUAUCCUUUUACCUUCUUGUAAUCUUGUUUAUUGUUUGUGUUGUAAUCUUGUGUUCUUGUUGUUAUUGCUAAAUCGGAAUCUUGUGUCUUCUUUUUUAUCAUCUUGUGUUAAUCUUGUUCUUGUUCUUGUUGCUGUUUUGGUGUUAAAAUACACAUUGUAUCUUGUAUUCUUCUUGUUGAUAGCGAAUCCGAGAGUGGUCUCCAUCUUCGUCCUCGGAUCCUUAAGAUUGUGGACUGAUUUGGAGUGUGUUUUGUGCCUUCCGUUGUCAUUCUUGUAUCAAUACCAAUUCAAUAGAAUUUCAAGGUUGAUCAACAAGACAUGUUGUAAACAAUUACAAGCCUUGAUAAAACAUUUACAUGUAUAGGACUUCAACAUAAUUCAGUAAUUUAGACCUUUGUUAUGAGGAGAAUGACAUCUCAGCUAUAUAUUCAUCUCAACUGAAUAGUUGGUUAAACAACAUUCUAAAAUUUAGAUUACGGUGGAUCAAAGAAACUGAAGCAAUCCCAUUACAAUCUCGUACCAUGACAACACUCCGGAUUGAUCUUCCAAAUCCAGAUCUUUUAGCAGUCUGGAAAGGAGAGGGGUGAGGCGGGCGAGAUCAAUAUAGCAAAAUUAGCAAUGCAACAUCCAAUUUCAUUGAAGGAGAACCUUGGAGUGACUGGUAAAGUUGCUGUCAUGUGACCAGGAGGUCACAGGUUCAAGCCUUGGAAACAGACUACGGCAGAAAUGCAAAGUAAGGUUGCGUACAAUACAUCCUUAUGGUGGGACCCUUCUCCGGACCCUUAGCAUAGAGGGAGCUUUAGUGCACCGGGAUAUCCUAUUAACAUCUAAUUUUAUGUAGAACUUUGCAUAACUUAUGUAGAGUUUAAGUAAUCAGAAGUUGAAUACUUGAUGCAAAACGAUGUAUUAAUUAUUCGGAGAUCAUAUCAGUUACGCAGGUUUUAUACGAAAUACAAACGUUGUACAAGUAAUGCAAAUUUUAAUGGACGCUAAAGUUUCUUAUACUUCAAACAAUACGUCCUCCGACAGUUUAAAGAGUACUACUGUCUAGGUAGAUGCAAUCUUUGUUUAGUGGAUUCAAUUAGACUAAAGUAUUUUCUCACACGAAACUCAGGAAAGUGAAAGGCAUACCAAUCAGUGUCUCCGAGAACGAAAGGACAAGUCACCAUUGUGUAUGAUUCCAUGUCUCCAGAUUAAAAUCGCCUCAGUUCACCAAUCUGAGUAUGAAAACAAAUGUCACCAUUAUACAUCUGGAGUCUUGUAAGCUCAAGUUCAUUACUUAAGAGCUAUGUUACUCGGACUCUUCAAAAAUGUAGGCUGGUGCAUGUUGGAGCCUUCAAAAGUAGUGUAUUUUUGAAGGAUCGAACAUGGGUGUGGCAACAUUAUAAGAGAGUCUGAGCAACUUAGCUUAAAAGGGUUGCAAGAGUAUUAAUUAGACCGCCCCCAAAAUGUCAAAAAGGUGAAAAUGAGACUCUGAUCUCAUCAAUCUCUGUUAUCGUUGUUAUCACUACCUUCCCUGACAAAUAAAAGUGCGUACAGAACAAUAUUUGGCAACUUGAGGUACAUGGAAAUAGGUUUCACUAGCGUAUAAAAAGAUGGUUGUAUUUAUUAGUAAGAACAGGAAACAAAUAACGAAAUUCAGAUUGAGAGUAUAACACAACCUCGUGAAAUGCCAUUUGAGAAAGCGAGGCAAAUGUAGCUGAUUUUCUUUACCUUUCACCUAAGCCGUGUCCUGAAAAAAUUGGCGAGUUAUAUUUAGUUAGUUGCAUUAUCUUCUACUUGUUUUUCCGAUAUUUUCACGAUAUUCAAAUGCAAAAACAUUAUCACGAUGAUCUAAAGAAAUUAUCUGUGUAUCUCUUGAAACUACCUUUCAGUUUCCUCCUUUUUGCCAUGUCCCUUGAAAUACCUAUAAAGAUAUGACACCUGGGCUAACUCAACCCCAAAAGCUAGCGAGGAUUGCUCAAGCCCAUAUAAGCAGACCGCCAGUCCAUUCCACAACCAAUGUAGGACUUUCAUCCACUUCAAUGCUCCCCCUCAUGCCCUGGACGGAGAUGGACCUAGUUCUGAUAACAUGUAAAGAUAUGACAUCUGGCCGAACUCAAUCUCCUAGUUCAUGAGGGGAGGAUUGCUCAAGUCCAUGUAACCAAAACCGCCAAUCCAUUCCCCAACCAAUGUGGGACUUUCACCCACUUCAACAAUACCAAAAGCUCAUCAUGUAACUUGAAAGCCUUCACCUGCAGUCAGUGAAGUCAAUUGUCUUAAGAGCUUUGAUCUACUUCAAAUUGUGUGUCAUUUAGGCUAAAAAGGAUAUGACUGUAUAUUUUACCAUUUAUUUUUCACUUUACAUAUGAAAAAUAAGGAAAGUAUGGUCAAAAUUGCUUCCAUUAGAUGUAACUAGAUUUCAAACAAAUGAUGUGUUUUUUUCCUGCUUAAGCUUGAAAUAAAUAGCGUAAAUAAACUAGCAAUGAUCUAGAGCACCCCGUCUCAACUCUCAUAGAAACAAGUGUUUACUUACAUAGCUCCUCAUACUUGGCUUUGAUGAUUGAGUUGUACACAUGAACACAAAAAUUCUCAAGAUAUCAUAUCAAGGCUAACCUUAAUUUUCUCCUUUAGGUAACCCUUCUGUCAUGCAAACUGCUCAUCUGUCGCAGCUGCUACCUUUCUCUUCUUCUUUCUAUUUCUUUUCCUCUUUCUCUUUCUUGGAACAUCGUCCAUUUUCCUCGAUGGGCUGCCACAAACUCUAAUCAGCUCAAUGUUAUGAGAUUUAUGUUCCUCCCUAUCUGUGGCGAUGUCAUACUCAGCAGACGCCCGUGAAAAGUCAAUUUCAGUUGUUACUGCACUAUCUUUGGGCAGAACUGGAAAGAGUUUGAGACCUUGCAUCGCUCGCUGCUUCCUUUUCCAUCUCUUAUUUUUAUUCUCAUACUCGAGGCGAAUUCCCCAACAUAUUUCCUGUCUGAGAUUUGAAGAUACCUCAAAAAGGAAAUAAUCAUUUGGAUUCUUCCCUACUUUAUUGCCAGAAGCGUGCCACAAUGUUUCAGACGGUAUGUAAAUGAAACACAUGACAGACGACUUGAACCAACACUUGAUGACAUAUUUCAAGGAAUGUUUUCGUUCAGGGUCAGAUUUGCAGACUAAUGUAGCUACUAGACUCACACGUGUUGUAUUACAACCGUAACAUAUGGUAAAACCCAUGAAUUUAUCGGUAUACCAAGAUGGAUUCAGAUCAAUUGAGAUCUGAUGUUUAUUUAUAAACUGGUAAUUGAACAACUCUGGACUUCUGACUUCAGGAAAAGAAAUGAGAACAUAUUCCCUAUGGUGAAAGUCACACUGCAAUAAAAUCAUUAUUAAUCGAAAUCAAUUUGACAAGAAUAUUCAACGUUCAUAUAAGUGAAGGAUCGAUAAAAAACCUGGAAGCAUGUCCUGAUUAACUGUUGUAGGGACUUCAACACAUUAACUUGGCUUGUCGAGACAGUUCCACAUUCAGAUUCUUCAUGACCACACCUUGAUACUGAGAGCACAUGCAGCUUAAGACACUUAGUUACUAGAUCUCUGAUGCUCUUCAUGAAUAAAUGAUAAUCUAAAUAUAGAUCCGUUAAAUUUGGAGGUAGUUGUUCUCCUGGCAGUUCUUUAAGAUUCUGACAGAAUUGUACGUCCAGACGCUGAAGUUGUAGGAGUUGUUUGAUGCUUUUGGGUAAACAAGAAAUAUUGCUUCCACUUAAAUUCAACUCAUCCAGAAAGAGCAAAGAACCCAAUU
rnacentral:lncRNA from 1 species